GAUGAACGCUGGCGGCGUGCCUAAUACAUGCAAGUCGAGCGAACGGACGAUAAUCUUUUUUCUCUGAUGUUAGCGGCGGACGGGUGAGUAACACGUGGAUAACCCACCUAUCUGACUGGGAUAACUACGGGAAACCGGAGCUAAUACCGGAUGAUAUUUUGAACCGCAUGGUUCAAAAGUUAAAGACGGUGUUGCUGUCUCUUAUAGAUGCAUCCGCGCUGCAUUAGCUAGUUGGUAAGGUCACGGCUUACCAAGGCAACGAUGCAUAGCCGACCUGAGAUGGUGGUCGGCCACCCUGGAACUGAGACAGGGCACAGACUGCUAGCGGAGGGAGCAGUAGGGAAUCUUCCGCAAUGGGCGGAAGCCUGGCGGAGCCACGCCGAGUGAGGUGUAAAGGGCCUCGCAUAGGAAAACUCUGUUAUUAGGGAAGAACAUAUGUGUGAGUAACUGUGCACAUCUUGACGGUACCUAAUCAGAAAGCAACGGCUAACUCCGUG
rnacentral:rRNA from 1 species